GUUUGAUCCUGGCUCAGAACGAACGUUAGCGGCGCGCCUAACACAUGCAAGUCGAGCGAGAAAGGGGCAACCCCCGGUAAAGCGGCGCACGGGUGAGUAACACGUAGGUAAUCUACCCUCGGGUGGAGGAUAACUUUCCGAAAGGAAGGCUAAUACUGCAUGAGACCACGAUUCCGGAAGGGAUUGAGGUCAAAGCCGGCCACUGUACACAAGCUGGCGCCUGAGGAUGAGCCUGCGGCCCAUCAGCUAGUUGGUAGGGUAAUGGCCUACCAAGGCGAAGACGGGUAGCUGGUCUGAGAGGAUGAUCAGCCACACUGGAACUGAGACACGGUCCAGACUCCUACGGGAGGCAGCAGUGGGGAAUCUUGCGCAAUGGGCGAAAGCCUGACGCAGCGACGCCGCGUGAGUGAUGAAGGCCUC
rnacentral:rRNA from 1 species